rnacentral:tRNA from 1 species
UUGUUUUGGCAGAGUAGUGCAUUAAAUUUAGAAUUUAAAUAUGUUUUAUAUCAAACAAUA